UACGUAGGGUGCAAGCGUUUGUCCGGAAUUAUUGGGCGAAAGAGCUCGUAGGCGGUUUGUUGCGUCGGCUGUGAAAUCCCGAGGCUCAACCUCGGGUCUGCAGUCGAUACGAGCAAACUAGAGUGUUGCAGGGGGAGACUGGAAUUCCUGGUGUAGCGGUGAAAUGCGCAGAUAUCAGGAGGGAACACCGGUGGGCGAAGGCGGGGUCUCUGGGCAACAACUGACGCUGGAGGAGCGAAAGCGUGGGGAGCGAACAGG
rnacentral:rRNA from 1 species